GUGUUCACUUCAGCAGCAUGUAUACUAAAAUUGGGAUGACACAGAAAAAAUCAGCAUGGUCCCUGUACAAGGAUGACAAGCAAAUUUGUGAAGUGAUCCAUAUUUUU